UGCUUACAGAUGUUCUGGAAAUCCUCGUAGGGGAGUACCAACUAAAAGAUUUCAUAGACAAAUGACAAAUUCUAGAGGAGUUAUGUGCGAUUGUAUCAGGCCAGGACUGUCACAGCAGCAAUUGAAAACUGUGAGGGCCUGCGACGUUUCCCUUCUGAUGCACACCACAACUAGGACGAAAGACAUUUUAGACCUGUUGCAAUAUGCAUUUGGCCUCCUGCAACGCACCUGUUCGGUCAAGUUUCCAGCCGCAGCCUGGAGAUCUCUCUCUCAUCCUGGCUGGAAACAAGGCAAAUCAGCAGACAUGGGAAGCCUCAUGUCCGCGUCAAUUAUACGUCCUCGUUGUACAUUCCUUGGGUUAGUGAGGGUUGUUGCUUACUUUAUUUGAACGAGUUAGCAAGGAUUGUUCUGUUUGAGCAGCAAACAGCCUAUGUACAUGAUUGCCUCGAUUAUUUGGACACCAAUCAUGUGGAGAAAGAGCACGUACAGUACAGUUUAGACGUGCCAACGUUGUAACCUGGUGAGAGCUGGUAGUGCUAUCGUUGCAACUUGUUGCAUGGGUGAAGCUGGUGUUAGUGUAGUGUUGUUAAGCUUACUUGAUCGAGCUCCAUCGGUUGAGCUGGUGUCUAUAUAUAUUAGUUGCAUUGCAGG